rnacentral:lncRNA from 1 species
UCUAUUUAAGGCAUUUGUAUCUUCUCUCUUUAGUGUUAUUUCACUUGUGUAAAUUUGGAGUGGAAUAAAAUAUUGGUUGUGUCCGAGGAGUAGGCAAAGUUGGCCGAACCUCGUAAAUUCUGGUGCUCCUUUUAUUAUUGCUUUAUUGUCUUAUUUAUUAUUUAGUGGCUGGCAUAAUUUUUAGUAUAGUAGUUGUGACUCAUUCACACUAUAUAUAUUUUGCUUUCGCAAUAAUUGGUAUAAGAGCUAAAGUACUUUCUAAGUAUGCUCUGUGGAUUGCAGCUAGUCUAAUCUUCCACAUCAGAAAAGAUUUAUCUUGGUAACUGAGGCAAGGUUCUGUCUGAGUAUGCUCUGUGGUUGCAGCCUGGUUUGAUCUUUUACAUCAAAAAGAAAAUAAUCUUGAUUUGUGUCGUCAGCUAUUAAAUCCAAGGUUCUGUUUGAGUAUACUCAGUGGUUGCAGCCUGGUCUGAUCUUCUACAUCAGAAAGGAAAUAAUCUUGAUUUGUGUCAAAAUGGGAGACAAUAAAUAAGAAGAAUCUACAUCAAGUGUCAGCAACACAUCAGCAUUGGCAUCUUCGCUUAUGACAAGCACGUGCGAAAUUUGUGGUAAAAUUUUUUGACGUGUCUGGACAUAUUGGGAUGUGGCAAGGAGAGGUUCUAGAUGUAAUUUUUCAACAAGGGUUAGAUCUGGCCAUUGAAGAAAAGAAACCAGAUGUAAU